AGAGAAACGGAGCUCUGAUAAUGUUGUUUGGGUUCCUGGCUGCAGCUGCGAGUCAAGGACACCAGGAAACUCAGAGAAAACGGGGCCUUGAAAACAUCAUUGGGGCUCUGCCACCCAGGCGAGCCCAAGGCUAACUUCAUCCUGGAUCACCCCAUCACGUGUUCUAGAAGGGGACUUUUUCAGAGGUGGCCACUUCUUUGGAAUAGUCCGACGCCAUCAGGCCUCUGAAGCAAGGGGAAGCGGAAGAGCAAAAAACUGAAGAAGCACAAGGCUCAUCAGCAGCACAGACCACAGAACAAUGCUAGCCCAAACCGAACCCCUUAAUGAGAAGCCGCUUACCUGACUUGAUUCCUUUAAUGGGCUGAACCACAGUGAGCAAAAGGGACGAAGGAAAAGACACGGCCAAGCAAAGUGCCUUACAAACCCCCCAACAUGUGACUCAACUCGCUUAAAGUUUAAGAGAAGGAUGUUCC